UAUAGGCAAUUGCCGAUUCUUCAAUUAAAUAUUUCGUAAUAUGAUAUACAUAGACAAAGACACCUACGGAUAAAGUUAAAAUAGUCGUAAUAGUGAUAGUAACAGUAAUAGCGAAAACGAAUCAUUUUCAGUUCGCAAAUGGUACAAAAUUUUUGCACAAUACUGUAUAGGUGUGUUUGCGUGUGUUGCGUGAAUGAUAACUGCAUAGCGAAAACGGACCUCGUUUUAGGUGACAAGUCGAUGUAAACUACGAUACGGAAAGAUCCGGUGACGUAUGGAGGGACAGUUCCAUUAAUGCUGUUCUACAGAGCUUGUCCAGAAUUAAUCACCGGGUCACCAUUCAAGCGUUCCUUGGUUUGUUACGGUUUUUUCCGGGAAUUUACCGUUUAACACCGUCCAACCAAGUAACGGAUGCGCAAGCAUUUUCGUCGUUCGUACGUAAUUUAUGGGAUAAAACGCAUAAAAGUCGAAGAAAAGGUUUUAGAAAUUAAAAGUAACGACGCUUUAAAAGAGAUUGAACGAAAUUGCAAGUUGGAGAAGUAAGACUGAGAAAGUAAAAUUAAUAUUAUUCCAGUUAUAAAAUAGUAACGAUGAAAAAAGAUUUUAGGACAUGACAUUUAAUUUAUAACAGACUUUCGUACGACGAUAGAAGCCGAUAUAGCGAGUUCGGUGAUAUAUAGCUUUAGAGAUGGAUGAUUGAUGGUUUAAAGGAUGUUUAAAGGUAAAGUUUGGAAGAGAUUUUUAUAUUCCGUAGCAUAAGCAGAAUCGGAGAUCGUUACUGAUUUAUAAGAUCAUUUUUCAGGUCAGUCACUUUUAUCCUGCGAUAGUUAAAAAAAUUAAGUUCUUGAGUACUGCUAAAUCCUAAAUUUACAACUGUAAAAUUCCAUCGUUGACUUCUGAAAUUUGUAUCAUCGAUUUGAUAAAGUACUGUUUGCUGUAACAGCAGCUUGGUGUUUUAUUUAAUCGUAUAGCUUUACCUCGUUCUUUAACAGAGGUUUCUACGGAUCUCAAUUUCCAGGUAUCCUUAAAUAUAUUGGAAAGUAAAAAGGUGUUGACGAAUAUUUUCUAAAAUAAUUUUUUGGUAUUCUCGAUAAAAUUUUUGAUAAAUUAAAUUUCAUAAAGUAAAUUUUUUGAUAAAUUUUAUUAUCACCUUAAUUUUUACCAAUUUUGGAUCCAAUCGAUUUUGGAUACAAUCGAUUCAUCGAUUCCAUCUGGGUGUAUCGUGUCCAUCUUUUCGUUAGUCUUUUCCUCCGAAAGAUCGUUAUUUGCAACAUGUUCUCAUUGCACAACGGUAUCGUCAGCAAUUUUCUUUUCCCCGAGUUUCUUCAUUUUUUCGUUUGAUUUCGUGUUGGUUGGCAGCUCCUCCCAAUGCACCCUUCACCGUGCGCAAUUUUUACUGCAGUUCAAACCGUGCCACCCAUAACCUAUCAUAUUCCUUUUCGACGUCCGAAGAAUCAUGCCAGAAAAAUGGAAAAGAAGAGCUACUACGUUCUUGGAAUCCGCAAUGUGGCACGCGAACUUGUUGAAAAGUUUCGAGUUCGAAUCAUAUUUUAGUUGGUUCUUAUCUUGCAUAGAACCUAUCUUGCCUGAAUUUCGUCGUAGAUUUAAUGGCAGUUCAAUAGAGAAGUCCUCUUGAUCUCGUAAAUUUUAAAAGAUAAUUUUAGAAUUAAAAAUUUGAGAAUUACACAGUGCAAAUUCUUAAAUACGAUAUGAAAAAUCUUCGUCGGUCGAAUAAUCACAAAUAUUUUUGGAGAAAGCGUUUAAAUUAUUGAAGCCUGCCAUAAACAUUAUCUUCACUUGACUUUCCCAACGUAAUCUUUCCUACCUCCGACAUAAUUUUCUAUCUAUUUAUGCUCUUUCUUUUGUACUCUUUUCCCAACUUAUCCCAUUUUGCUGAUUUCCUCUCUUUGUCUUGCCGGAAUCUUCUCGCGAGCAGCAUGGAAAGACCAUCCCUGCGUCGAGUUCAUCCGAACUUGUUUGAAAUCUUCGAAACGAAUACUGUCAAAACUUCUUUCACGGGGAGACUAACUUCGCCGGAUCGGUUAAUUAGUGCCUCGAAGCUCGACAAGCAGCGAUGGAAAUUGGAGUAACAUGUUGAAGAAAUCCAUGGAAAAUUGAUAAACCGCUACUACGAUAUCGUUGAAAAUUGAACAUCGAGAGGAAUAUUUAAAAUAAACAAAUUUAAUCUCACUAUUUUGGAGGAAGAAAAUUAUGUCAACAAACCAAUAUGCAUUUUAUAAAUGUUACAAAUUUUAAAUAGACUCUCAGGAUUGUUUUACGUUAGAAAAUUCUUUAAUCAAAUAUCAACCUUGACAAGUUCUCCAAAUCUAUUUGACGCGAAAUCACAACGAUAUUCGAUUAACUGAAAUCACUAUAAAACACGUUCAUCCUGAUUGGUAUCUAGAAAAAGGAGGCUUAAAACGCACAGAAAAGAAGAAAGAAAUAAAAGUCGGCGUGGCGGUAGUUGAUCCACCGACACGACGAUCGAAUGAAGCAACGAUGCCAUUCAUUCGAAUAACACCGGAAGAUUUACUCGCGACGGAGCUUCCUUUAUUUGCAGCGACUUGGUCUUCCUGGAGCUACCAUGGUAAACUUUAUCUCCACAGCAAAACGAGAAACUUCCGCGGAGGCAAACGAACGAAAUAUAAAAGGAACCGUUACGCGAAAUAAAACUAAAGGAGCGGGAAUGUGAACACCGAGGGUAUGAAUGGUGAAGAUGGAAGGGAUUGAAUAAGAGAGAGAAUGGUGGAGAAAGGCAGAAAUUGAAGAAUGCAACGAUGCUGAGGGAAACGGGACUCAUUUCCAACCGAUCCCACGGUAAUCCGCAAGCGUUUUCCGACUGAUUGACAUUUCCUCGAUUUUCUACUACCCCGGCGUAUCGAACAUCGCCUCUGCUACUGUUACCGACAGCUUCGUCCACCAAAAGUCUCAUCUCGUAUUAGAACAUUGGCCACCUUAUGCUUGUUACGUUAGUUCUGUUUUACGAAAUCUCGAAAUUAGUGAAGGGAUGUCGCGUAUUAAUUUUUUACUCUUGUAAUGCCAGUCCCCCAAAAAAGGUCGUAUAACUAUAGCGAUAAACAGAAUUUUCAUCGUUCCAAAAAUUUGAUACAAAUCAGCAUAUGCGAAUCAUUCAAGUUUGAAACGCAUUGAGAAAUCUGAGCGCGCGUACUCUCGGCUGUAAACUUGCCCGAGUUUCGGUUAGUGCUUUCGAAACGAUUUGCCAGGCAGAAAGCCGUAGGAAAAAGGCAGAAAAAGUCGACACAAGAUCCAAAGUUGCCCGAAGGAGAAACGUUUUACGCGUUUCACUCCUCUUUCACAGGGGAGAGCAUUUUUUUCCACCUCUUCCACUUGCCGUUCGAAAAACUCCAGGAAAAAAAGGUAUGGCGUUUCGUGAACGAUCCUACGCAAGGUGUCGCUCGCGCAUUAUCAUGCCAUCCAUACGGACAAGUUUUAUGGAAUAGUCAAACCGUUACCGUAGAAUCGAACCAAACGAGAUUUCGUUCGUACCGAUACGCUGCGAAUUCGAACCGCGAAAAUGAAAUUUAUGCCACCAGAGAAAUAAAAACGUAUGCCUGCUUGGCUUCCAAGUUAUAGCCUCGAAUCUGGUAGUCGUAUUCGUGAUAUGCAGUUCUCAAAAAUUUUAUACCUUUUUCACGUUUCUCCGGAUCGCUGUUCAUCCCCUUAGAGUCGAGACAAAUGGAAAUAGUAUAAGUAGGCGAUGUCGUAAAGGAACGGUGCAGUUUGUCAACCUGAUUUAGGCUUUGAUUUACAUUGGUUGCGUUUGAUGUGUCAGUCAUUGCGAUAUUUAAUUAUUUUAUCUUUGUUAUUACAAAUUAUGCAACAGAGUUUACUGUAAAUUAAAAUAUUUGAAUUAAAAAAUUCUUGUACCUAUUACAUAGAUACAUAAUGAGCAUGUCUGACUACAGUGUGAUUUUUCUACUGACGUUCUCAAGUGCUGUACAACGUUCAGAAAUAUCUGAUAUGUCAUGUAUUUCUUAAAAGGUGAUUUAUACAAAAGUAAG